rnacentral:rRNA from 1 species
GACGAACGCUGGCGGCGUGCUUAACACAUGCAAGUCGAACGGAAAGGCCCUGCUUUUGUGGGGUGCUCGAGUGGCGAACGGGUGAGUAACACGUGAGUAACCUGCCCUUGACUUUGGGAUAACUUCAGGAAACUGGGGCUAAUACCGGAUAGGAGCUCCUGCUGCAUGGUGGGGGUUGGAAAGUUUCGGCGGUUGGGGAUGGACUCGCGGCUUAUCAGCUUGUUGGUGGGGUAGUGGCUUACCAAGGCUUUGACGGGUAGCCGGCCUGAGAGGGUGACCGGCCACAUUGGGACUGAGAUACGGCCCAGACUCCUACGGGAGGCAGCAGUGGGGAAUAUUGCACAAUGGGCGGAAGCCUGAUGCAGCAACGCCGCGUGCGGGAUGACGGCCUUCGGGUUGUAAACCGCCUUCGCCUGUGACGAAGCGUGAGUGACGGUAAUGGGUAAAGAAACACCGGCUAACUACGUG